UACGGAGGGGACUAGCGUUGUUCGGAAUUACUGGGCGUAAAGCGCACGUAGGCGGAUUUGUAAGUCAGGGGUGAAAUCCCGGGGCUCAACCUCGGAACUGCCUUUGAUACUGCAAAUCUCGAGUCCGGGAGAGGAGAGUGGAAUUCCCAGUGUAGAGGUGAAAUUCGUAGAUAUUGGGAAGAACACCGGUGGCGAAGGCGGCUCACUGGCUCAUUACUGACGCUCAGGCGCGAUAGCGUGGGGAUCAAACAGG
rnacentral:rRNA from 1 species